rnacentral:rRNA from 1 species
AAUACGGAGGGUGCAAGCGUUGUCCGGAAUCAUUGGGUGUAAAGGGUGCGUAGGUGGGAGCCUAAGUUCUGUGGUGAAAUCUUGCCGCUUAACGGUAAAAUGGCCCAUAGAUACUGGGUUUCUUGAGUACAGAAGAGGUCGGUGGAAUUCGUAGUGUAGCGGUGAAAUGCAUAGAUAUUACGAAGAACAUCAGUGGCGAAGGCGGCCGGGCUGGACUGUAACUGACACUGAGGCACGAAAGCGUGGGGAGCGAACAGGGAUUAGAUACCCUGGUAGUCCACGCUGUAAAACGAUGCAUACUAGGUGUUGGCCCCUCGGGGCCAGUGCUGCAGUUAACGCAGUAAGUAUGCCACCUGGGGAGUACGUCGGCAACGAUGAAACUCAAAGGAAUUGACGGGGGCCCGCACAAGCGGUGGAGCAUGUGGCUUAAUUCGAUGCAACGCGAGGAACCUUACCUGGGCUAAAUCCACAGUGUUACCUCCCGAAAAGGAGGGUCCCUUCGGGGCACUAUGGAAGGUGCUGCAUGGCUGUCGUCAGCUCGUGCCGUGAGGUGUUGGGUUAAGUCCCGCAACGAGCGCAACCCCUGUGGUUAGUUACCAGCACGUAAUGGUGGGGACUCUAGCCAGACUGCCUACGCAAGUAGUGAGGAAGGUGGGGACGACGUCAAGUCAUCAUGGCCCUUACGUCCAGGGCUGCACACGUGCUACAAUGGAUGGUACAAUGGGUCGCCACCCCGCGAGGGGGAGCAAAUCCACAAAGCCAUUCUCAGUUCGGAUUGGAGUCUGCAACUCGACUCCAUGAAGGUGGAAUCGCUAGUAAUCGCGUGUCAGCAAUGACGCGGUGAAUACGUUCCCGGGCCUUGUACACACCGCCCGUCAAGCGAUGGAAGUCAGGAGUACCUGAUGUCGCCCCUUCAAGGGGUGCCUAGGGUAAGCCUGGUAACUGGCGCUAAGUCGUAACAAGGUAGCCGU